rnacentral:lncRNA from 1 species
AUUAAUACAUAAUAUGAUGCAUUAUAUGCUUUAUAUGUAUGUCUUGUGUAUUAAUAUAUAAUAAGCACAUGUAUUCUAUACUAAUACAUAUCUGUUAAAUGAACAAACUGAAUGAUGAUCAAAGAGCUUAAGGUGAAGUGAUUUAAGGACUCACAGCUUGUAAGUGGAGACUUCCUGGCACCAAGUACAGAGUGCUUUCUAUUAGUCUGUGCAGCCCCACGUUUCUAGGGUAGUCCAAAAGGAGAAAGGGAAAGGAGAUGUCUCUAAAAAGCUGAAGUUGAAUAAACUGAGACUCAGAGGGUAGCUAAAUUGCCUGGGAUUACCCAGCUAGGUGGAGCCAACAGUUGAACCCAAGUCAAGAGUUUUCAGGACCAGUCAUUGCAUUUUCCAGUUUGGCUCCAAGGCAAGGGUGGUAUCUUAUUUAUUCAUCUUUGUUUUUCCUACCCCUCCCUGCUGGCCCCAGAUCUCCAAAAUUUAGUCUAGUUUGGGGGGUUGAAAAAGUCAGACAUGACCUCGCCAUUUUUUUUUUCACCAGCAGGCUCUGGAAACGGCUUUAGGAGCUGGCAGAAUAAGUGCUCUUUGAGGCCAGAAGCCAUUUUCUCCCCUUCUGAGUGCAUUCUUUUUUCCUGUCCCAUCGCUGGGAGAAGAAUUUUGCCCAUGGGAGCUGUCUCAGGUGCCGACAGACCGCUCCCCCUGAACUUUGCAUGCCUCCCCAGCACAUUCCUGCAUCUAAAUCAGAACUGGUCAAUGUUUCACUCUCCCUGCUGCCCUCCCAGCCAUAUCUUCUGAAAGCUGGUGAACAAUUAACCUACAGCAGCUCCUUCUCCUCCCUUGGCUCUUGAUCUCUCCUCAGAAGCCUCCCAACACUUCACUUCUGGGUGUCAAUGAUCUACCAAACCUGACAGGCAGCCAGGGUUCCUCUCCAGUCUUCAAGGAACCUCUUAUAUACAUUUUUACAAUGUUUCUGAUGAUUUAUGACUCUUCCAAUCAAGGAAAUACAUCUCAGAAGACAACUUAGCCAAAGCACCUAAAGCAACUCUUGUUUUUCUGUUGGACAUUGUUACAAAGAAUCAGAGAAGAGGGCUGAAGAUUCUAGUCUAGCUCUGCCACGUACUAGCCAACUGACCUCAGCCAAAUCCCUUGAAUUAUCCAGGUCUUCUCUUUUUCAUUUAUAAAAUGAGGAGCCAUUCUUUCCUCUUGUGUUUAUUACAGAGAUUAAACGACAAUGUAUAUAAAACUUUAACCCACAGUAGCAAUUUAAUAAGUUCAUACUUAAGAAAUUGUAGCCUGAAGUUCAUAAAAUCAUAAAAUGCUGGAAUUGGAAAGCACUUGAUGGAGCUUGUACAUCUUUUACAAGUGAGGCAGCCCAGAGAGAGAAGUCUGGGAUAUAUUCAAUGAUCUUUCAGCCAAUAAGUGGGCUAUAGUCUAGCUCAGCUCUGUCUAGUAGAAAUGCAAUAUAUAAGCCAUACAUAUCAUUUAAAAGUUUCUAGUAAUCGCAUUAGAAAAGUAGAAGGAAACAGGAGAAAUUAAUAUAUUUUAUUUAACUCAUUGUAUGUGAUGUAUCAUUUCAUGCAAUCAAUAUAAAAUUAUUAACGAAAUAUUUUAUAUUUUUUGCACUAAAUCCUCAAAACCUUGUGUGUAUUUUACACUUACAGCACAAUCAACUCAGACUAGCCACAUUUCAGGUGCUUAGUAGUUACACAUAAGUAGUGGCUAUGAUAUUGGACAGUGCGGGUCUAGGUCAAUUCAAGUCAGCAAACACUUUGUGCACCUGUCCUAUGCCAGGCAUCCUGUUAGAUGCAGGGAUAUGAAGGUGAACAAACAUCGCAGGAGACUAGGUGGACGGCCUUGGAAACCAAAGCCAUCCUCCAAGGCUGGGAGUCCCUCCCCCUCUGUGCUGCUGGAUUACUCAUCAUAUGGACGAGUUUGGAUGAACAAGUCAAGAAGAAAAUCCUCCUGGGAAAAUAUCUAUAUCCCCAGGCAUUCUCCUCUGCUCGGGUAUCCAGAGAUAGAAGAAAGCAUUUAUUUGUACUGAGCUCCUAUUCUGUCCCAGGCAUUGGCUAUGCACUCGACGGGUAUUGUCUGAUUUAUUCCUCGUAGUGACUGUGUGGUGACAUUAUUUUGCCCAUUUUAAAGUAGAGGAAAUAAAGGCUCAGAGAAGUUAAGUAAUUUGUCCAAGGGUCACACAGUUUAUCUGAGGUGCAGAUGGGACUCAGUCUCAGAAAGCAGGCAUGUUUAACUCUGUCAAUGUUGCCCCGUGGAGAUGUGAGAGAGAUUAAUGUUCUUUGGCCAUGACUGUUUUGGCCUAUUUAUAAACAUUCCCAAAGCUUCCUGAAUAAAGUGACUGGAGAUUUAUUUUAAUAAUAACUUCCCAUCCCAGGUAACGAAAUUUCCACUGCCUGAAGGCUUUUGCUACAAAGAAAGAGAUGAGGAUGUUUCGUUUUUGGUUCCUUGGCUGCUGGGAGCCAUUCUGUGCCUGAGAGACCUCAAGUUGAAAUGGACCUCAGCCUCAAGUUCACCUUGUUUCUUUAAACUGAGCAUAUUUCCCACAGCUUUCCUUUGCCUGGGUGCUGAGGGGCCAGGUCAGUAGGGGCUUUCCCUUUCCCAUAGGCUGGGCCACUCUGCUUCCAGCUCCUGCUCCUGGUUAUUUGGGAAUUGUGGGUGUUGGUAAAAAGCCCCCAGAAUGUGAAUACUUGCCAAGCUGGAACUUGAUCUGCUGAGCUACAGUAUUUCCUGAAAGAAUAUCAACUGCCAUGAGGACCACAGAUAAAGAAGUUUGUGAACCUGGAAUAAUCAAGGAAAAUGAAAGGUUCUGAUCAAGACCAUCAGUGUGAUUUCAUGGGCAAAUCUCCCACGUGAGGAGAGCAGACGGUAUGUGUGUAUGGGGAACCAGUUCCCAGAAAAGGGUGAUACUUUGCCUCAAGAAACUAUUCGAAUUAGAUCACAUCCUGAGACAUAGAGCACAUGACACCCUAUGAGGUUUGCUUUGCUGAACUUCAACUGGAUUGACUGAAG